CGGCCUCAUCCGUGGCGUCACUGCGCUCUCAUCCAAGCACGAAGAAGAGAAGUUAAUCCAGCAGGAACUGAGUAGUCUGAAGGCGACUGUUUCUGCUCCUACUACAACACUGAAAAUGAUGAAGGAAUGUAUGGUGAGACUUAUAUACUGUGAGAUGCUUGGAUACGAUGCUUCUUUUGGUUAUAUACAUGCAAUCAAGUUGGCCCAACAAGGAAACCUCUUAGAAAAAAGAGUGGGCUGUCUGAAAAUCCCCAGAGGAGUCACAGGGCCGUGUAGGGAUGGAGCAUCCAGUGAGCGUGAUACCGCCACGCUUCUAGGAAUGAGCAGUCUUCAUGGAUUGGCUGACUCAGGUGCUGGAGCGGGAAGAAGAGGAUAGAGUACAACAUUCCACGUACUGAGCUCCGCUCCACCCCAGACCUUCUACCUCCUACAUUAGUUGUGGCCUUUUCCCAAAGCAAAGUGUUCUGUGUUAUCUUCUGAUUCAUAUUCCAAAUUAAAUUUGAAUUUGAACUCUUCUGAGUUCACUCUGUGACUCCCUCCAUCUUGUACCUUGUGGUCAUAAGUGUCUUUUCCUCCUAUAUAUUAAUUUUCAUAUACUAAUGCUUUGGCUUUCAAACUAAUCAAGCCUUUAAUAAUCCUAAGCUUUUUGUGUUAUUAAAGAAAUCUUUAAAAUUG
rnacentral:lncRNA from 1 species